AGCCACAUCACAUUGAAACACCGGUUCCUGUACAAUCACUGAAGUUAAGCAAUGUCAAGCCUGGUCAGUACCUAGUUGAGUGACCGUUUAGGAAUACCAAGUGCUGUCAU